CGGGUGAGUAACGCGUGAGGAACCUGCCUCAAAGAGGGGGACAACAGUUGGAAACGACUGCUAAUACCGCAUAGGCCCACAGGUCGGCAUCGACCAGAGGGAAAAGGAGCAAUCCGCUUUGAGAUGGCCUCGCGUCCGAUUAGCUAGUUGGUGAGGUAAUGGCCCACCAAGGCAACGAUCGGUAGCCGGACUGAGAGGUUGAACGGCCACAUUGGGACUGAGACACGGCCCAG
rnacentral:rRNA from 1 species